CCUACGGGUGGCAGCAGUGGGGAAUAUUGGGCAAUGGGCGCAAGCCUGACCCAGCAACGCAGCGUGAAGGAAGAAGGCUUUCGGGUUGUAAACUUCUUUUCUGAGGGACGAAGAAAGUGACGGUAACUCAGGAAUAAGCGACGGCUAACUACGUGCAAGCAGCCGCGGUAAGACGGAGGUGGCAAGCGUUAUCCGGAUUUAUUGGGUGUAAAGGGCGUGUAGGCGGGAAAGCAAGUCAGUUGUGAAAACUCGGGGCUCAACCCUGAGCCUGCAGUUGAAACUGUUUUUCUUGAGUGCUGUAGAGGCAAGCGGAAUUCCGGGUGUAGCGGUGAAAUGCGUAGAUAUACGGAGGAACACCAGUGGCGAAGGCGGAUUGCUGGACAGUAACUGACGCUGAGGCGCGAAAGCGUGGGGAGCAAACAGGAUUAGAUACCCGUGUAGUC
rnacentral:rRNA from 1 species